ACUGAGACACGGCCCAGACUCCUACGGGAGGCAGCAGUGGGGAAUUUUGGACAAUGGACGCAAGUCUGAUCCAGCAAUGCCGCGUGCAGGAAGAAGGCCUUCGGGUUGUAGACUGCUUU
rnacentral:rRNA from 1 species